rnacentral:lncRNA from 1 species
UUUUUUUUUUUUUACUGUUAUGUUGAUUUUUCUUUACAAUAGGGCCCAUGUUUUAGUGUAAUAUAUAAAUUGAAAUUUUUUAGUGUGAUUUAAUACUACUACAUUUUUUUUUGUUAAAGAAUACCACAUGUUACCACCUACUAGAAACUUGUUUAAGGAUUCUGCUUCUCUAGGAACCAAAAUGCUCAUAAAGACUCGUUUAAAAGUAUUUUUAAAAUAAUUAACAGCUUUUUUUAUGAAAUGUUUUUGCAACCAAUUUUUAGUAAAAAUGCAAGUGAAUCUUAUUGGAAAAACAUUUAAACUACUUCAUGAAAGAAGCACAUAACUGGUUUUUUGCAUAAAGCACUUCAAAUGCUUUUGGAACCCAAAAGAAUAUUUUUUCUAAAAGUGUUUUCAGUCAUUUACAAAGUACUUUCCAACGUGUCAUAAGUGUUCUUUCUAAAAGCGCCUUUACGUUUAAAUUUUUCAUCAGAAGUAAAGUUAGUACUCUAAGCUACACUAAGGGAAGGAGAAUGGGUUGAACAGGAGAGGCGUUAGGUUGAACAAGAAGGUCCUCCUGAAGAAGCACCUAGCUUCUGAAGACAUUUUUAUGACUCUUAUGAUCUCUCAAAAUUUUCUACCUAACAUAAUCAAAAAUGUUUUUUUUUUAAAUCUCCGAUGAUUUUGAGUUGGAUACUCAAAUACUUAACAUAGUAUAGUCACAUUAAGUGAUCCUAGCUAAACCAUUAGAUUUCAAUCUAAUCACUGACGUCGUCCAAGAAAAAAAUUGAAAUUCCAAAAGUUUAACUUACAUAAGAUUAAGUGUCACCCAUCAUUUCCUCUAUUCAUGCUGAAUAUUAGAAAAGAGAAUCAAAUUCAUAUGUAUUGUAUACUAUGUUGGCAUGUUUACUAGUUAUUAAUAAGAACAAAAUAAGGAGUUGGAUUGCAAUUACGAAUCACUCACAAGUUCAAUGAGCAUGGAAGGAUAAAAAAAAUAAGCAUAGCCUACCCAAAAUUAGGAAUUCAAUUCUUGAUUUGGAUUGACUAAGUGGAUUCUUUGGAGAGACGUAGCAUUCUAUUUUUAUGGAGAACCAAUUCAUUAUGAAACGACCCAGACAUAAUGAUCCCUAUAAUCAUGGCUCAUACAUAGGUCAUGAUUAUCGAUAUAACGAGUCAUUCCUAAACAAGAUUAUUAAUUGGUGCUCAUUAUCACGUCUCUCAUAUAGUCAACAAUUGUUGGUUAAAUGAGCAGGAUAACGUGAGUUCAAACCAACCAUUUAAGGAGCGUCAUGUGUGCCCUAAUAAAUCACCUUCGAGCCCAUGUUUGUCUUUAUAUAAAGGUAUGCUUAUACAAUGAAGGAUGUCCUUUAGCUAAUAAACUCAUAACUUAGUAUUCAUUUUCCUACAAUAAGUAUGACUUAAACAUCAAAGAGCUUUUGGCUCACACCACACCGGUGUACAUGUGGCAAGGUCUCACCUGUACCUUUUCAUUCUUGGUUGCAAAGAUAUCACAGUAAUUUUAAGUUUGUGUGGAAUUCGUUCCCUAUACUUUUAAGAAAACUCUCUUUGUCGACUAAAGAGGGUGUCUUUAACACUUUUAAUCAGUUUAAAUAUAACUUUCAUAUAUAAUAAUUUUGAUUUACCUUCUUCCUCUCUCCAUCCUGACUUUCCUCUUCAUAUCUCUGUCUACUUUGUACAGCAACUAACUUACCCUUUACUCUAGUUAUCUUAUGAUACAAACUAUAAUGUCCUAUUCCAGGAUCCUUGUAAGAAUGUAAUUCUUUUGUAGUCAAGAAAGUAAAAUUCUGUAUUGGUAAAAGAAAAAGGAAAAAAAGAAGAAAAGAGAAUUCUGUUGACCAGGAAAAGACGAAGAAGUUAUGUUUCGUGUGUAUGCACGUGUUCUUUAAACUAGCACUAUAAAAUACUUGUAGUUGUAGAUAGCACACCCAAAAUUAACAUUAAAAUGAGAAACGUGGGGUUUCAUGGGUUUCUAAAAGUAGCCUAAAUCGAUGCAAAAAUAUUUGUUGUGUGCUUCCAUUAUGAUCGCUUCCUUUUGUGCCUUUUUAAACGAAACAAAAGUUGUAUCGUGCUUCGAAAUAUAUAUAGACGCUCUUAUUAGUUUUAACUUUUAAAUUUUGAUUUUUGUAUUUUUAAACAAAAAUUUAAUAACCAAAACACCUUAAAGAUGAGGUAUCCCAAAGUACCACAGUAUCCCCUGAACGAUAUACUCUCUUCCAUAUGAAAUCAACUAUGAACCUACAUGUGAGGAGUACGAAAAUAUAAGGUAUUUACGUUUUCAAUAUUUGUUCAAAAUAUACUACUACAUAUCGAAUAGAAUUUAUAAGGCAUUAUUUUGAGAAAUAAACUGAGAAUAUGUUUAUCAUCACUUAUUUCUUAUAGUUUGAUCCAAGCAAUUGAGGAUUGUGUGUUCUUAUUUGCUUUGCAUGUAUGUGAUGGAGUAGCGAACUUUAGUUGCCUCUUUUGUCAGUCAUUUUAAAGAACCUCUUCAUUCGAAGUUCGUUGGUUCUAGCUACUUUAUAAAAUUUUAGAAAGUUAUGCACGUUUGUUCAUUCAAUGUAUGAACCCUAAACCACAAAUUACAAUAUAUAUCUUCUCCCAUCUAAAUAACCAAAGUUUCGUAAAUUAUACCACACGAAUAUAUGAUAUAGUAGAAGCUAGCUAUUGGGUCCACUUAGUGUCAUAUUUCUAAUGUAAUUUGGCUAGUGACUAACACAGAAAUCAGUCCUAAUAGGAAAUGGAUUUAAUUGGUAACAGCUCAAGGGCAAUAUGUAUCCAAAUGAGACCAUACAGCGGACGAGAGACCUUCUUUAGAGUGAAACAGCUGGAUCAUGCUAAGCAUCCAAUUAUCUUGAUAAUAAAAUAUAAUUAAGCGAUGUCUCAACCCCUUAUUUAAUAUGUGAUAAUUUUCAAGGUUUACUAAUAGCGUCGCCAUAAUCGUAGGUUUAAAUAAUCAGCGCUGCCAUGAAUAUCUUCUCUGAAUUUUUGUCAUGACAAUAUGAUACUGAUGCGGCGUACGGAUAUACGAUCUCCGCGUUCACUCGAGGUUUCGCAUGUUUGACCGUGGACGUGACACUACAUAAGUUAUAGAAUACAGGAUCACGAACAGUUUUAUAGAUUUUAGAGAAAAUCUCGAUUUUCAAUUGAGUAAUAUAAUCAUGAUAUAACUCUAAAGUCGUGUAUAUAAUCUUGAGAAAACUCUAGAAGCAAAUGAAAACAAAACGGGAAAAUACCAAAAUACCAAAAACAUUCUUAAAACUUAAGCGUUGUUUUUAACCCUUUAAUUCGUCAAAUAAAGUAUCAUGAGUCCAAAUGGAAUACAACCGUAAAACACUAUUCACAGAGCAGUCCAAAAUUUGCCAUUUGAAUCGGAAAAGGAUCUGCUCUUUUUUCUAGGAAUUCCGUAAUCGUUCAUGGUAUAUCGUACGGUCAGAAAUUAUUUAAAUUUAAAAUUUAAAAUUAAAUAUAAAUAAUACUUAAUGAAAACUGAUUAUACAAUAUACGAUGAUAACUUACACGAUCAGGAAACUCUCUAAAUCUUUAGUCAAAGAAUCCGUUAAAUGAUCUCUUGUCCCUCUUUUAGUCCCUUGUCAGGACGUAAAGUAAUAAAAUCAUCAUUUUCUUUCUAGUUUUCCUGCCUUCAAUCUUCCAGUUCCCAAGGUUAUUAUGACUGCAUGUGGAAGUCAGAUGGUUUGCACUUUGGGAAUUGGAUCAUCUCCUAAGCUUCGAGAAAUUUUUAGUUAUGACCGAAAUACGAAUGGUACAUCACAUAUUUUUAUGCAAGUGAUGAAAAUUUUUAAUUUUUAAGUUAUUAACGAGAAAUUUUUAGUUGUGAAGGGAAAACGAAUGGUACACCACGUGUUUUUAUAUAAGUGGUAGAAAAUUUUAAUUUUUAAGUUACUAACCUUUUAACACACAUAUCCCACAAUUUAUAUAAAGACACGUGAUGUACCACCUCAUGUGACGAUCACACUAAAAAAUCUCUCGUUAUUAACCUUUUAACACGCAUAACCCAUAAUUUAUAUAAGGACACCUGGUAUACCCCCUCGUGUGACGGUCACACUGAAAAAUCUCUCCUGAGCUUGGGCUCAGGAUCAUUCUAACCGACACACAAGGACGGUUGCAUUUUGAUCUAACGGCAACAAACAGGGGAGCUCUCUAAAAGUUAUAAUAAUUGUAGCCGUUUGAUCAAAAUUCAAUGACCCUUGUGUAUCGGUCAAGAGGAUCCUAAGCCCAAGCUCAGGAGAGGAUCCAAUUCUUGCACUUUGGAUUACAUGCUCAAAAAUGUUCUAAAAUUUCUAUUUUUUUUUAAUACAACGAUGUGCUCUAAAGGAGGCGAUAUUUUACUGUACAAUAAGAGGAGAUUGCACUAAGUUACAUUGUAUAUCAAUCACUAAUUACGUAUUGAAUACAACACAAAUAUACUAUGGCUUCGCCAUCUAGUGAAUUAAAUAAGAGAACGUUCAUUUAUAUAUAAAGAUGAAUAUCACUAGAUUGUAUAAAUCUUCCAUCUUAAACACAUCUAAUUUACCAACUAAGAAAGUGCAAUUAGAUUUUAUUCAAUUCUGAAUUAUUCUAAUUCAUAAAAAUGAGCAUUCAAAUUUAAGUGAGAUGGACCAACACACUACCUUAAUCGAUUAGCCUCACCACAUUUGCUCACUACCUUAAUCGAUUAGUCUAACUCACAAUUACUUAAAAUUAAGCAAAAUUCAAUUGCCGUACUUUUUGUGCUUAAGAAAGACUUAAACAUUUACUUGUUGAAACCGACAAGGAUUAAUCUAUUAACUAAAGCCAAUAAAAUAAAAACAACAACUAUAAAAAGUUAGGGUUUCAAUCACAAAAUCUACAAUCGUUGAUGAAUCUUUUGAUUCACUGAAUGCAGAACAAGAGCCUUACUGAUAAAAAAAAUAAAACAAAAUAAAACAAAAUAAGAGAAAGAGCCUUUUGUUGUCCUUAGAUUUAUGUUGGUCAUCGAGCCUUUAGCUUGUCUACCACCGACAACUUUUGUUUGUAUGAGUAACGAUUGGGAUAUGAAUUAGAAUAUUAGUUAUUCUUUUCUUUUUAUAUUAGUAAAUCAUCAAUUCCACAAAAAAAUGAUAUAUAGUUGUUGUGGGCUAAGAAAAGGGGGAGGACCCGCGAUAGGAGAGAAAAUAGACAGAGAGUGGGAAUUAUGUGUUGUGAUUUCACCUCUUUAUGUCUUUAUUUAUAGUAAUAUGGAAGAAAGAAUCUUGUUCUCCAAGUAAUACAAGUACAAUAAAGAAUGAUCUCAUACAAUCCUAAACAUAAUCUACUAAGAUUUACACAAUUGCACUUCUAAUGGAAUAUUAACUGCAACACUCCUCCUUGUUUGUGUAAAUACUCAAGUAGAUGGUGCAUUAGAUUUUUAGCAAUGAUGUAAAAAUAGUUAAUGAAGUCUCAAACACGAAAUGCACAUGGAAAGUAAGUCUCAAAAAACCUAGCUAUGUUGAAAAUCAAGGCGAGACAAAACCUAUAGGCUAGUAGAAAAGUGAGUUAAUGACUUGGUGAAGAAAUCAAUAAGGUUGCCUUGGGAAUGACUUGGUGAAGAAAUCAAUAAGGUUGUCUUGGGAUCGGAUAUGCUUGACUUCAAUUUUCUGAUGCACUUGUUGCUUAUGUGAAUAGAAAAACUUUGGUGCCAUAUACUUGCUAUUCUCUACUUUCAUGAACCUUUCUUGAUUUGGAUGACACAAGCAACAUUAUCUUCAUAAACCGUUGUAGGAAAAUUAACUACGGAAGAAGGUCCGCAAAUGCUCUUAAUAUCCUCACUAACAACACUCAACCAUAAGCAUUCAUGCAUAACUUCAUGAAAGGUGAGAUCUCGGCAUGAUUCAAAAAAAGUCGCAACUAAGAGUCUGCUUGAUUGACCUCCAAGAUAUUGCGAUAUCUCCAACAGUAAGGACAUAACCUAUGAUACGCCAUCUUGAAAUGAUUCAUUUUACAGUUGUGAGAAAAAUGAUUUUAAAGGGCAUUUUAGUCAUUUUAAAUUUUAUUUUGGUGUUUGAGGCGGAUUUAGGUAGAACGCAUGGGCAACAACCGUUGCGAAUCACAGUGGAAAUGAAGAAGUUAUAGAGUGCUCGCAUUUUGAUCUUUUGUCAAUUACUAUAAAUAAAAACUUGACUCCAGAUUAAAAAAAAGAAGCAUAAAGUAGUUUCCAGAAAUGGAAACCCAACCGAAACCAAUAACUCGCAACCCACUGAAUCUACCAACCCGCACAACUUCAAGUUUUCUAUGCGAAUUACGGCCAAUUGUGGCAAAAAAAAUUUGAUGCCACCACCACCAGUUUGAAGCUCUUACUUCCCUUUACAAAACUCACCCAAGAACCACCUGCCGUACAUGGCAGUGCGAGGCCUCCAAAUCCAACGUGUCCGACUGCCUUUUUCUAUUUUUUGGCUAAUUGGCGAAAUGCCGACCGACGUCAUCAUUUGGGUCUUAUAACUCAUCAUCUCAGAAGUAGAUCCGACCAACCUCGACUUUUUUGGACCUUUGAAACCAACAGGAUCCUCUCCGGAUCUUUUUGGUGAGGCUCAUAGAGAUCUGUGAAUCGUGUUUAUUCAUCAUAUAUCGUGCUGGUCAAUUUUUGUCAAGUAUUGUUUAUGUUUAUUUUUAAAUAAAAAUAUGUAAAAUAAUUUUUGACCAUAUAAUAUACGAUGAACGAACACUAUUUACGGAUCCCUAGGAUUCUCACAAAGAGAAUCCGAACUCCCAUUGAAAAGAAGAAGGUGACUAAAGUGAUCCACGUCAAGAGAUCUUAUUAUAUGUCAUAAUUAAACCAUUAAACGGAUUAAGUUAAUUAAAUUAGAAAGGUCCAUAAUCAAUGCGGAAAACAGCUGCAAAACAAUGGAGUGCUUGGAUGUUAUAUAUGAUUAAAUACUAAAAACGACAUUAUUUUACUUUUGACUCAAGUUUAAAAGCAAUAUUGGCAAGUUUUCUUCAUGUGUUUUUCCUUUGUUUUUGGGUCGCACGAAUUGCAAGUUUUCACAUUGCAAAUUUGCGAUGUCUCUUGACUUUUGGGGGACAAAGGUCGGUGGUUUAGUCAGAUUCUACUCUGACUCCAGUCAAAAACAAAUUGAUUGAGACAUACAUAAUCAUUAGAAAAUUAGGAGUAGAAAGGACUAAGCAAGGAAGGAUCUUGCGGGGCAAUAUACUCUGACGGCAUACAUAUUAAUAUACAAUGCUAUUUAGACCUACGAAUUUAUUUAUUAUAAAGCAUUUCAAUAAUAUACUUGUUUGUACCAUUAAUCCCGAAACUAUUAAGUACUGGUCAACAUUAUAAUCUCAAGGACCCACAAGAGUCUUCCUCCAACUAGGAGGCCAAUCACAAUGCGACACAUGUCAACAUCUAAGGCCAAUCAUAACGCGACACGUGUCGACAUCAGAGGCCAAUCACAGCACGACACGUGUCAAUGUCAGAAUGAAACUAGAAACUCUCUUCUAUAAAUAGAUAUCAUUCUCUCGCAAUAUUUCCUAAUGUCAUUUGUACUAAAUCAUUCAUUUGUACUCACUAAAGGAGAGCUUGAACCUAUAUACUUGUGUAAAUCCUUCACAAUUAAUGAGAACCCCUCUACUCCGUGGACGUAGCCAAUCUGGGUGAACCACGUACAUCUUGUGUUUGCUUCCCUGUCCCUAUCCAUUUACAUACUUAUCAACACUAAUGACCGGAGCAAUCUAGCAAAUGUCACAAACUUAAUACUUUCUGUUGUAACAAAGUCCUCACUGAUUUGUGCAUCAACAAUACUCAAUUAAAAUAACAAAAUUAUAUUAUAAAAGGCAAAAUUAUAUUAUAGUAUGUUGCCUACUGAAUUGUCUUAUAAUAAUAGUUUGAAAUGACUCUAAUAGAUUAGGCAAACUAAGAAGGCAAUAUUAUAUGUUAUACUUUGAUCCAAGUCUAAAAUUUAAAGUUGCUAUUGGAUUUAGUCUUGUUCCAUAUUUUUAUACUUUAAUUAAAUUUCUUGAUUUAUGCAUCUUUACUCAAAAUUUGAAUUUGAAUAUUUAAAUUUGAAAAUAGAACCACUUUUAUAAAAAGUAUAUACGAAAGUAAAUAAAACUUAAUAUACUUAUUAUCCAUAAAAAUAGUCGAAGAUAUUUUAUCUUUUAUACAUUUAUAAAUCCACACACACAAAAUAUAUAUAUAUAUAUAUAUAUAUAUAUAUACACACAUAUAUAUUUUAUGAUGAUAUAUAGCACCUACAACAUACAAUAUUCAAGUAAAAGACAUUCCUAUAAAUAAGGGAUAACAUUUACAAUUUAAUAAAAUAAAAUAUAAACUGAUGUAGAUAAUCAAUGAGUAGACCUAGUCCAACAAACUGGACUAAAUUCAAUAAUGACUCAAAAAAUUGGAUUUACAUCACGUCUACUCUUUAUUUCGUGUGUAACAUCAAUUUUUACUUUUUGGUUUUGUCAUCUUCCUCUACAUCGAAUAUUUGAUUAUCAAAGGAGGGUGUGGCGCCUGAAUCGCCUACUCAUGAUGGUGUAGGCAAUGUGCCUAUUUUUGGAGGGUAUGCAUAAUUUGCAUACUCAAUUGCCUCUAUUAUUGGAGCUAGUUUUUACUUACGUGUCUGAUUAAAACAGGUAUUCCAACUCAAUUGUCUACAUUAGAGAUGUUUUCUAAUACUUAACACGUGAACACCCUCCCCAAUUCCAUCUUGAAUCCUUCUCCUUUUCCUUUAUUUUUAAUAUAUUAAUAUAUUUUUGUUUAAUCUACAUGACAUCACAAAAUUGGACAUGGGAAUCCGCAUGUGGGCUGCAUCAUAAGAUGAACAAACUUUUUUUAAGAAAUUAAUUGAACGGCAUGGACCAAUAAUGCACAUUUUGUCAAAUUUAGGGACAUAAAUUUAAAAAACUAUAGUUCAUGGAUGAAUUCUAAUUUCGAGAUAAAUCAGCUAAUGGUGUUAAUUUUAUAAUUAAGAUUAACAUGUUGAAUUGGCCUCAUAAGAAGGUUUAGGUUUCAAGGCCCAUUGGGCUUGGACCUAGGGCUUGUGAUUAAAGUUACGGUUGUUUACUGCAUGCAAAACAAGCCUAGUUAGGCUGAAGUGUUAUUUAGCACCAAAUGACAAAUUAAUUUCUCAAUGAGACAUAUUUAGCUUAGGCUAAAAUAAUUCAGUGCUCUUCAAACCAAUUGAUAAUAUAGAGAGUAGCCCAACUCUUUAUAAGUCUUUGAAUGAUUUGGUCUCUCAUCGAUGUGGGAUUUUGUCUUAACAUCCUCACACCAGGAUUUUGACUGCGUACUUGUUGAAGAAUGAGUCGGUGACUCAUAGGCAGUGGCUUGGUUAAGGAACCCACCAGAGUCGUAGCAAAAACAUGUCUUCAUAUGGUAAUUGUCACUGCUUAUGGACCCAAACUUGAGUGAUCUAUCUAUGAACAGAACAACAUCUAAUUAUUUAAUUUAUGCGAUAUAGACAUAUUAUUCGUAAAUGGUAAAAUGUGUAUAUUUUCCCAUGAAUAUAAUACUUAAUACUCAUUUAUUUCAUAUAUUUGGAUGGAUAAACAGUCACUGAUUUGACUGUUUUUUUUUUUUUAAGGAUAAUUUUCAAAUGAAAAAUUAAGAAUUGAACAAUUUUGGUCAUAAAUUUAGACAAUAAAAUUACGUUAUUCAUAAAUGGUAGAAUAUAUAGGUGCAUUCCCGUUGGGAUGCAAGUAACACACUUUUAAUUAGUUUUCUUAUAUAUGCAAGUAUUGUCCGAUUCAUAUUAAAGUUAUUUUGGAUUUGUUUGUUGUUUUCAAACAUCAGCCAUGCUGAUGAUAAACUCCUUAUUCCUCUCAUCUUCUUCGUCUCCUCGUCUCCUUCUUAACCACACCAAAUCUCCUUCCAUUCCAAUCACCACUUCCAACCUCCCCAUAUCCAAUCCAGCAACUGCUAUCAGCACACCACUGAGAUGGACCCCGCAGACCCUUCAGUUUCGGGCCUCAUCGUCAUCAGCCAAUCCGACAGUCGAGGUUGCAUCACCGCCGGGAACUGAUGGCGAUGAGUCAGCUGAUGUGGUGGAAUCUGGAGCGGACGUUGUGAGGAAGUUCUACGCGGGAGUCAACCGCCAAGAUUUGGGUUCAGUGGAGGGGCUCAUAGCAGAGAAAUGUGUGUACGAGGACCUUGUUUUUCCUCGUCCUUUCAUUGGUCGCAAGGUACUCUUAUCUCUUAUCCACAUCUCAGCUCUUUUAUUUAGUAUGUGCUUUGAUAUUUGACUGUAAUAUAAUAAUUUUAAACUUAAAAAUAAACAGAAAAAGUAGUCCAAAUUGACAGAAUUAUAAUAAAUAUUUAGAAAUAAAAAUAAUAAUAUAACAAGAAGAAAGAAGAAUUUGUGGAAUUUACGUGUGUAGUCAAACUACGAUUUAAGGAUUUUAAAAACUUUUUAAAAUAACAAUAUAGAUUUGGCAGACUUUGACGGAUUCUUUUUGAACUUUCGAAGAUUUAUGUAGACUUUUAUUACUGACCUUUGAGGAUUUACGUGGACGUUCUUUUAUUUUUUUUUUAAUCAAUCUUCUAGUAACAAAAUUUCCAAAAAAUUUAAGCAUUCAAAAAAGAAAAUCAUGUUAACCUAAGGUCCGAAAUCACUAACUGAAUCUGGAGGGUUGUUCCUGCAAAACUUAAAACUGAUAUUUGUGUUUCCGAACAUUAUUGGUAUUAAUCCUUCCAGCCCGUCUAGAAAAAUGUUUGCAUUUAUAAAUUUCAAGUAAGUUCCGAAUUUGUAUUUUCAAAUAUGAUGGAGGAGGUCUUAAGUUCGAUUUCAAGCGUUUUUUUUAUAGAAAAAUGUUUAAGCAGCUCUGAAUUAUUGUGUAUUUCAUUCUCAAGAUCAAGCAUCAGCUUCAACAAUGCGCAGGAUAUACUUCAAUUCUUCAAAAAGUUCAAUGAUUCUGUCGGCAAAGACCUUAAGUUUGUUAUUGACGACUUAUCCGCUGAGGACUCCACGGCAGUUGGGGUAACAUGGCAUUUAGGUAUGUUAAUGGAAAUUAGUUACACUACGUCCUUUCUCCUCUGUGAUAUAUAUGUUUAUCCGAUCCUCACUGAAAUAGUACGUAUUUUCGAUCAGAAUGGAAUGGGAAGCCUUUUCCCUUCAGCAAAGGAUGUAGCUUUUAUAAGUUGGAGGUCAUCGAUGGCAAGAGACAAAUAAUGUAAGGAUACUUCAAAAGAACAGAUAGCAGUCGUAGCAUGCACCAGAUUAUAGUACUGCAUGCUCAUUCAAUUUCGUUCCCGAAGAUGAAGAAACAUCUUGUGUACUUGUGUAUCUCUGUUGAGUGCGUAUAGUUUGUUGGGAGACUAAUUUUGUCUUUGAUAAACAGCUACGGGCGAGAUAGUGUCGAACCUGCGAUCAAGCCUGGAGAAACUGUGUUGGUAAGUGCUUAACCUCCGUACUUUCACGCUCUCUCAUUUUUUUUGUUUUGUUUCAGGGCAUUCCAUAUACUAUUUCGAAACAAACAUAAUCUAAAACAGACGUUUAGGUUGGGGCCUGAUAUCUGAUGGUUCCAGUCUAAAUUCUAUAGUGCAACCUUCCUGCCAUUGGCAUUGGAUGAACAUGUAGAAUAUGAAUAUACGUUCAAAUUUGUCCAAUUUCUUGAAUUUCUGUUCUGUUUUAACUGCUUUUCAACCUUACGGAUACGAAAACUAGGUGUGCAGAAAUUAUAAGAUUAUAAUUCUUUGAAGAACUAGGUCAGGUUUCACUUCAAAUCCCAUAUGUUUUACAGAUUGCCAUCAGAGGUGUGGCAUGGCUUCUACGACAAUUCCCUCAGCUGAUCGACCAGAUUUAGAGUUAUUUUCUCUACUCUCUUUUUACCUCAAGGAGAGGAUAUGUACACUUUUUUACUUUGAACUUGCAUGAGCAAGCAAAUAUGAUGUAUAGGCACGCAUAUUCGUAUGUAGAAAAUGUGAACUGAAUGGAGUAUUCAUCUCGAAAUUCUCGAAAAACAAAGUGAUAUUGGGGAGGGGGAAUCAAACUCGUGUCAUUGAAUGCAGAGUGUAAGUCCUCUUAGCUAAUUGAGCUACAUGUCUAGUGAUUUUGUUGACUUUUAACUUAAAGGGCCAAUGUUGGAUUGUUGUGCUUUUUUAAUUAAAAAACUGUUUCUGUUGUGCUUUAAAAAUAAUUAGCUAUAAAAAAAAAGUAGUUGGACGUUUGAUAAACUGUAUUUUUAAAAGUAUUUUUUGAGUAUUAAAAGAUUCAUGUCCACUGUGCUGACUCCUCAAUAUCGACGUACGGCAUUAUAGCUAAUACCAUCCAGAUGCUAUACACUGUACUAUGGUAACCCAGCAUGAGCAAUGCCCCAUCAACAAGUAUAGGUGACAAGAAUUUGUGCUCAAUCUAAUCCUGUCCGAAUACAACAAUAUGAGCAGCAGCACCAGAAGCAAGUCGAAGAAAAUUUGGACCCAAAGGAACAUCACUGAUGUAGGAAUUUGAAUCUUCCUUUGAUGGGAGGUGUUCCAGUUGACGAAUGCAGCAAUACAAUCUCAAUGCCAUCAUCUUGGGGUGACCAGUCUAAGCUAGACCUGUAAACGGGUCGGAUUUAUUGAAUAUGGGUUGGGUUCAACUUGACUUGUUAAGUUAACAAGUUAUCUGAACCCAAUCCGUAUAGAAACCCAAAGUACAGAGAGAUAAUUUCUAUCUUAAUAUUCCUCUUCUCAUUUACUUUUCAUAACAUACUUUUACAUUUACAUUUCGAUAACUAUAUAUAGUUAAGGCUAUGUACCAAAAUAUCUAUGACAGCCUGUAAACAUAACCACCUAACCAAACUAUACAGUUGUAAUAAUACAGUUAUAACAAGAAUGAUUUUCUAACUACAAUUAUAUGAACUGUUAUGACUUGGCAUCUUUAUCUUUACACCCCCUCAAGCUGAGCUUGGAAAGACUAGGAGUUCCAAGAGAGAGCUUGGAUUGAAGGAAGAGAAACCGAUGUUUAGACAGAGAUUUGGUGUGAAUAUUGGCGAUCUGAUCCUGACUACAAACAUACUGAAUUUUAAUCAGAUUAGCAAGAACCAGCUCCCUGAUAUAGUGAUAAUCGAUCUCCACGUGUUUAGUUCGGGCAUGAAAAACAGGGUUGGAUGCAGUGAAGUGAAAUGGCAGAGAUGUUGUCGCACCAGAUGGUAGGUUGGAGCGUGAGCGUGGAGGGGGAAACCAAAAUCUCUGAAAACCUUGCAGAUCCAGGUAAUUUCCGCAGCAGUAUGAGCAAGAGACCGAUAUUCAGCCUCAGUAGAAGAACGAGCUACUGUAGACUGCUUUUUAGCACUCCAGCUGACUAAAUUGGAGCCAAGAUACACACAAAAUCCACUCGUGGAUCGUCUAUCAAAUGGGCAGCCAGCCCAGUCUGCAUCAGAAUAAGCUGAUAGAGUAAGAGGAGGACCCUUAAGAAACCAGAUGCCAUGAGAAGAUGUACCUUUGAGAAAACGCAAAAUUCUCUUGGCUGCUUGCAGAUGUAAGUCAGUAGGAGUAUGCAUAAAUUGGCAUACUUGGUUUACUGCAAAGGAGAUAUCAGGCCGAGUCCAAGUGAGAUACUGAAGGGCUCCCACAAUGGAUCGAUACUCGGUUGGAUUUGCCAAAGGUGUACCACUGUGAUCCAGUUUGACAGUACCAAGAGGUGUCGAACAAGGCUUAGCACCCUCCAUUUUUGUCUUGUGCAAAAGGUCCAACAAAAUAUUCCCUUGAUGUAAAAAUAAUCCUGCUGUGGUGCGUUGGACCUCAAGUCCCAAGAAGUAAUGUAAAGGACCUAAGUCUUUGACAGGAAACAAAGAACUUAGCUUCUGAAUGAACAAACGGCAGGCUGAAGAAUCCGGACCACUGACCAGUAUAUCGUCGUCUACAUAGACAAGUACAACCACAAGAACUGGAGCCUUGAGAACAAAGAGAGAUGCAUCAGAGGAGGACUGAGUAAAGCCUAGAGACUGAAGAGACUGAAAUAGCUUAUCAAACCAUGCCCGUGGGGCCUGUUUGAGUCCAUACAGGGACUUUUUCAACUUACACACAUGAUUCGGAUAGUUUGGAUCACUGAAGCCAGGUGGCUGAUGCAUGAAGACUUCUUCCUUUAAAUCACCAUGAAGAAAAGCAUUGCUAAUAUCGAGUUGAUGAAGAAACCAAUUAAACUGGACAGCAAAGGUUAACAGUAUGCGAAUGGUGACAGGCUUUGCUACAGGACUGAAUGUCUCUUGAUAGUCUAGACCCUCUUGUUGGUGAAAUCCCUUGGCAACAAGCCGGGCUUUAUACCUGUUAACAGUUCCAUCAGGCUUCUUUUUGAUUCGAAAUACCCAUUUACAGCCAACAAUAUUCUGACUGGAAGAAGGAGGAACCAAGAUCCAUGUACCAGUGGAUUGGAGGGCAUUAAAUUCGGCCUGCAUUGCAGUUCGCCACUCAGCAAACUUAGAAGCUUGAUUGUAAGUGGUGGGGAUAUAAUCAAUAGAGGAUGAGAGGGGAUGUUUGGUAGCAUUAUAGGCCCGAGGCUUAAAAAUACCAUUUUUCGAUCGAGUGACCAUUGGAUGUGUGUUAUGACUUGGCAAAGGUGGAGGAAGUGAUGGAGAUUGAAUUGGGACUGGGGAGACAGGAGCUGUAGGAGAGGAAGCAGGGGUAAUAGGAUUGAUAGGAGAAGAGCAUGUUGGAGCAGUGGUUAGGGUAGACAUAGGAAAAUGGAGAUCAAAGGUAGGAGAGCUAGGAAGGGUAGAAGGAGAGAAUGAAGAUGUCUUGGUAGUGAAGGGAAAUGAGCUCUCAUCAAAUUGAACAUGCCGAGAGAUGUAAACUCGGGCAGUAGCUAUGUCUAAGCACCUAUAACCCUUAUGUUGUAAGCUGUACCCAAGAAAAACACACUGCUUGCUUUUGCCAUCAAGUUUAGAGUGAACAUAAGGUUUUAGCCAGGGGAAGCAACUACACCCAAAGACACGGAGUCGAGUGUAGUCAGGAAGUGUGUGAAAUAGUAACUCCCAUGGAGAUUUGAGAAGACCAGAAAUGGGUAACCUGUUGAUCAAGUAAAUGGCAGUGGAGAAGGCUUCAACCCAAUAAACUGAAGGGACUUGAGAAGCUACUAACAGUGUUCGGGCUGUUUCUACAAGAUGGCGAUGCUUGCGUUCUACACAUCCAUUCUGUUCAGGUGUAUGUGGGCAGCUGUAUUGAUGAAAAAUGCCAUGCAAAUUGAGAUAAGACUGAAAAGAAGCACUAGUGAACUCACCCCCUGAAUCAGAACGUAUAGUCUUUAUUUGAUUGCCAACAGACUUUUCCACAUAGUUCUUGAAAUUUACAAAGGUAGAAAAACACCUCAGAUUUUCUUCGUAAUGGAAAGAACCAGCUAUAUCUGGUGUAAUCAUCUACUAACAACAGAUAAUACUGAAAACCACUCACAGAAGGCACAGGGGCAGGUCCCCAUACAUCACAAUGAAUUAAAGCUAAACUAUGAGGAGUUGAUGACUUAGCAGGAGAAAAGGACAGUUUAUGAUUCUUAGCAAUGGCACAAUCUGAGCAGAAGAAGUCAACUGAGGAUUUACCAUGCAGUGCAAGACGAUUACUAGAGAUUACUUUCCGAAAAAUGGUAGAGGAGGGAUGACCCAGUCGACUGUGCCAAAUCUUUACUGGAGCUUUAAUACUGACGAAUGCUGAUGAAGAAACAGAAGAGAUACCACUGGAAGGAAAGCUUUGCAAAGGAUAGGAGCCAUCUCUAACGGGUCCCCGCAAAAGCAUCUUCCCCGUAGAACGAUCCUUAACAGAGGAUCCAUCAGAGUCAAGGGUUAAUGAACAUGAAUUGUCAUUAACAAAUUGAAAAGCAGACAAUAAAUUGUGCUUCAUUUGAGGAACAUGAAGUACAUUGUUCAAUUUAAAGGAAUGAUGAGGAGCAUGUAACAAAGAGGAACCAGUAUGAGUGAUGGAAAGACCUUUACCAUCACCAAUGUAGACUUUAUCUUCACCAGUAUAAGGAGAUGGAGACGAGAUGUUGGAGAUGUCAUUUGUUAUGUGAGAAGUUGCUCCAGAAUCAAUGAGCCAGGAAGGAGAAGAGGACUUGGAUUGAUAGUGCGCACACAUUGCAGCAAGCUUUGCUGGAGGGAUUUUACCAGAAAUAUCUGGAUUCAUGCGAUCAAAGCAAUCGAUUGCCUCAUGACUUGGAUUCCCACAGAUCUGGCAGGGAUUACGAGCACCCGACGAAGAUGAACCACGAGAGGAGGAGUUAUGACCACGAUUGAAUCCAGAAGUGAAGCCAUGAGUGUAGUUGCCCCGAUGAUUGCCUCUGUGUCCUCGAUUAUUAGAAAAUCGAUUAUUCCGGCCACGAUAGGAGUUAUAUCGAGAAGAGGUAUGAAGAGGAGGCUGUUGAGCAGCAAAAGCCUGAGGUGGUGUAGGAAGAAGAGGCGGUAAAGCGUGAACCGAGAGAGCAUGAAACGGUUCAGUAGGUGCAGAAGAGGCAAGUUGCUUCCGUCGAUUCAUGGAAAGCUCCUUGGUGAGUAAUAAUCCAUGCAGCUCAUCAAGGGAUGUGGAAGAGAGACGAAGCAUGAUGGAGUCGAUGAAUGAUUCGAACUCAUCAGGAAGACCAGCCAGGGUAGCAGCAAUGAGAUCUCGAUCUGAAAUCGAAGUGCCUGCAGCAGUGAGGGAAUCUGAAAUUUCUUUGAUCUGCUGCAGAUAAUCCGCCAUUGAUUGAGAAUUCUUCUGAAUGCACUGAAGGCGAGAACGAAGCUGAUGAAUGUGCGCAUCAGAGACACCACCGAAGCGCUGCUCAAGCUUAAGCCACAGAUCUCUGGAAGACGAAACGCCGACAGUGAAGGGAAUGACUUCUUCAGAGAGUGUUGAAUUGAACCAGAUGAGAAGAUUCUGAUCUUUCUCAUACCAACUCUCAAAAGCAGGAUUGAUCGAACGAUCUGGUAGACAUGGCGUCGGACAGGGCUCAGUGCCAUCAAUGAGUCCGAGAAGCUUGUACCGGCGAAGAAUAGGGGCAAAGAGAGCACACCAUGGUAGGUAAUUCGAACGCUUGAGCUUGAUCGGCACCAUGCUGCCGAUGUUCUGAAUCGUGAGAGAAGCGUACGAAUUUGACAAAUUAGGGUUUGAAGAGGAGGAAUUGGGAUUCGGAAUCUGAGAAGAGGAACCGGUGGGCGACGCCAUCAGAGAACACAAUGUAAGAUCCAAGAUGCAAGAUCGAAAAACAACACUAGUAAUAUCCACAGAUCGAAGAUGAGAUGAUUGAAUGGAGACGAGAGCACGGCGGAAGAGAGGAGGAUCGAAGAGAGGAGGAUCGAAGAGAGCCGUGAGGCGGUGGCGAUUGAUACCAUAUAGAAACCCAAAGUACAGAGAGAUAAUUUCUAUCUUAAUAUUCCUCUUCUCAUUUACUUUUCAUAACAUACUUUUACAUUUACAUUUCGAUAACUAUAUAUAGUUAAGGCUAUGUACCAAAAUAUCUAUGACAGCCUGUAAACAUAACCACCUAACCAAACUAUACAGUUGUAAUAAUACAGUUAUAACAAGAAUGAUUUUCUAACUACAAUUAUAUGAACUGUUAUGACUUGGCAUCUUUAUCUUUAAUCCGUUAAGCUAACGGGUCAUCCGUUUCACCUGUUAACAAUUAUUAUUAUUAUUUUUUUUCAUAAAGUUUAUAUUUUGUUAUUAAGAUUUUAUUGAAAUUACUAAAACAUCCUCAACUAACUCGUAUUAACGAGUGCUAACGAGUCUAACGGGUUAACCCAAAGUGAUCCGUUAUUUAACGAGUUGUUAACGAAUUCAUCCGUUAGCGACCCGACCCGUUAAACAUCCACCCAAAUACUAAUAUUAACGGGUCGGGUCAGGUUAACAGGUCGGGUUCAAAAUGCCAUGUCUAGGCCAGGCAGAUGGUUGGAAUAGCAGGGGUUGCUAUGGUGUAUUUGGGGUUGUGGUCAGUGACGACGUUGCUUGUGUUGUGGUUCCUUCUGUUGCUGUAACCGGCGAUGACAUGACGGGAUGGGUAAAGCGGGACUUCAGGCAACACACAAGAAACAAUGGCAUUUUCCGUAGGUGAGCUACCGGUCCCAAGCCCGGAUAAAGGAGGAGAGGAGGACGUCAGGUAAUUCGACAGCCGGCACUUUUAUCUUACGUCGAAUCCUUAGGAUACGAUCAUACCAACUCACAUGCACCGGAUCCCAUCUGAAGUCCGAAGUUAAAGGAGUCUGGGCACGAGUAGUACUAGGAUGGAUGAUCCCCUGGAAAGUCUUCGUGUUGCAUCUCCCCACAGUUGAUCCCAUUUAAUGAAAAAAGGCUUUGUUGUGUUGUGUUGUUGUGAGCUAUAUCAAUAGCUAACAGCUAAAAACACACUGCGCAGCUGUUCACCUCAGGUUUGUUCUUGACAGGGUACGCAGUUUUUCUUUUCCAUGAGCAAACUGAAAGAAAAAAAAAUGGCAACCUUGGUCUUUUAUCCUCAACAUAUAGGAAAAUCAAUAAAUAUCGAAUAUAUUUAUGGAUUCACAACAUAAGUUUUGCCAUAACUCAUUCUACAUAUCUCGUUAACCAUGAAAAAAUGGCCAAAGUCUCCACUUGUCAUAUAAUACGUCCAUAACAAAAAAAGGAGGGCCGCGGGAGCACCGACUGCUUCCCUCGGUAUCUCCGCCUCCACUUCCGUCUUCUUCUUCUCUCUCUGCUUCGCUUCCUCUCCCUCUCCCUCCCCGCCGAUAUUCCUGAAUCUGUCAUUGCGAGACGCCGUCGUUGCAACAAUGGCGGCGAUCUCGAAUCUUGCGGGGUGCAGUCACAGCGGGAACUCAGUCAUUUUCGGAGAGAGGAGGCUACAGUUCCGGUCAACUCCUGGAUUGAAAACUCGGAUCUCUUGGCCCUCUAAGGUAUCAUACAUUUUCAUAAGGAUUCGAAGUAAUCAUGGAGUGCCGGCUGUCGAUUACCUGACGCCCUCCCCUCCUCCUUUAUCCGGCUUGGGACCGGCAAUCUAAGGUAUCAUAUGACAUAAUUUUUACUUCAAUUGCUUUCAUAUUUUCCAUUUCAUCUCAAUUAUAUAAAUUUAUGCAGAGAAAUGUUGUUGUUAGAGUGACCAUUUGAACAAUGCUACUUUUUCAGACCAUCAAUUCGAAUAAUUGAUUGGAUGAAAUUCCAAGUGUUGCACUUUAUUUUUUUUUUAUUUUAUUUAUUUAUUCAAAUUUGUUAUAUUGUAUGUGGGUUUAAUCAAGGAAUUUGGAUUACAUUCAAGAAAACUAUAAUUUAUACAUGAUAUUUUUACUAAUUCCAAUGUGGGCCUGCUGUGUUUUUAAGUUUCAAAUUUGUAGUGGUUUAAUACUUCUCUGUUUCGGAGACCAAAAUUCGGUUUGAUUUUUUUUUUUUCACGUCCUCAUUCCUUCUUCUUGAUAUAGAAUCAGUUCGCAGUUGGUCACUUGGGCAAGUCAGAUAAGAAUUCUGGUGUUCGUACGUGAGAAGAAUGCACGAAGUGGAGAUUUUCCAGGCCUUCUGACAUCCUGGUAUCAAAAACUACUUUUUCUACACAGUGACUUAAAUCAAAUUGUCAAUGUGUCUUCUUUGGAACGUAGAUGAUGUUAGUCUGAAGUUUCAGGCUACUUAAGUAACAUUUUUUUGGUUUUGUUUUUAUUUGGCAGGCAUUUGAUCUUUGUUCAAGGAGCACUUGUAAGUCUUUGUCUUUAGUCUCCUGAUAAGCUGAUAUGUAUUGAGUUAAUUGAGAACUUGAUGCAAUUGUUGUUCAGAUUCUAACGCUUCUCGUUCAUAUAAAAGUACCAUACUUUUGUUCUGCCCCACUACCUAUAUUAAAAUUUAACAAACUAAAUUGAGGAACAAUCUCAAAUGCGCUAGUCAGUGAAGAUGAGAAAUCAUGAGGAUUUGCCACAUAGUUUACUUUUAUUGUUUGAGUUUGCAUAAUCACAUAUCUGAAUAGUCACAGUGUGCACGUAAAAUGGAGUCCGGCUGUGGUUGUGGACAGGUCGUUACCUGAGCCUCCAACAGCUGUUUUUCUGCAUGGAAUUCUAGGUAGCAGGAAGAACUAGGGUACGUUUGUUCUUUUCCCUUUCUAUUGUUCUCCAGUUAAGAGUCCCUUUUUGUACUGUUCUGUGGCAUGUAGGAGUUUUCUCAUGUAUUUCUUUUCAAUUCAUAUCUUUGCAGCAUUAGCAACAAAGUGGUGGUAGCGGAUUUUCUAUUGUUUGCCACGCAUAAAUAGUCUGUGGUUUUAUCCAUAAUAUCUGAUAUUGCAGGAACCUUCACCAGGAGAUUGGCACAAGAAUUUCCGACCUGGCAGGUAUUGUCCUCUGCUUUUGUACUUUAACUUAUCAUGAAUGAAACGUGUAUUUAUGUGGUAAAGCUCAUAACAUUUAAUUUUCUUAUAGAAUUUCCGACAUGGCAGGUAUUGUCUAGGCUUAUUUAUUUGUCUGCAGUAUUGUGACAAAUUGAUUAUACUAAGUGAUACCACAAACACAAGCACCACCAAUACAGAUCUGCCACAAAGACACGCAACAGACCUAUACCGAGAGGCACACACAAAAUCAUCGCUAACAAGCGAGAUCACAUUACUCAGCCCUGGCUGAGCAGUAGUCCACCCAAAAUCCUAAGCUCUAAAACGGUGAUUCUGCACCUCAAAUUAUUAAGUCCUAGACCAUGCUAAACGCUACACUUCUAACUCUCAAUAACCGCUUGUAACCAUAGGUAGUUUGCAAAAGUUUUUAAAGCAAUACUUUAGUUGUCUCAAGGGGAUAGAAGAAAAAUGGAAACGAUAAAAACUUGGGCAGCACUUAGAAAUUGAUCUCUCACUUGAGGUUCUUUUAAAUAAUAAUUUUCUGUAGUUUUGUGACUGAUCUAACUAACCAUAUGUACUACUUCGCCUGUUGUCACUAAUUAUGCUUGUAAUUUUUGUGUUUUUUUGGGUGUGUAUUCGGAUAUAUUGAAUAAGGAAUUUUUAUAUUUGGUCAUGGUGACAAUCUUAUGUUAUUCUUCUAUUUAUUGGCAAAGUUUCUGUUAGUGGACCUGCCGUGUCAUGGUGAUUCAGCAUCAAGUAAGAAAAGUGGACCCCAUAGUGUUUCUUCCACUGCUCUUGAUGUCCUAAAACUGGUACGUGUUUCUUGCGCACUUGCUCUCAUUAUUUUUGAAGGACAAGUUUCUCCAUUGUUAUAUAUAAACCUAUUUUUCCAAGAAAAGUUUCAGUUAUUGUUCUGAAUUAGAUGAAUCUCACAGCCUGCAUCUGUGUUUCUUAUGCCUAUAUUUUUCUUUCUUACUUGCACAUAGAACCGAGCGCAAUGGCGUUCUAGGAUUCAUAUAGCCGACCCCACUUAGUGGGAAAAGGCUUUGUUGUUGUUGAACUUGCACAGUUCUUUGUAACUUCAUCAUUAUUUUCAUGAACAGUGUUGUAUGCACAGCAUUUGAACACUCCCAGAUGUUUGUAUAUUUUUGUCUAGUAUCCGACAACUUAGAUUAACACCUCGGGUUAUAGUCGGACACAGUUUUGGAGGGAAAGGUAUCUUAGGUUAUUUUGGCAUGUUGUAUACCUUUAUUGGAGAGUGCUAGUACACAGUACAUCUGCACCAUCUUAAAAUGGAUUGAUGCUUACUAUGUUUCUGGUUUUCAUGUAGUUGCCUUGAGCAUGGUGGAUCAAGCUGCAAAACCUCUUGCACGACCAGUCAGAGUAAGUAAUGGGAAUAUAUUGAAUAUAUAUCCUGGAAAGUUCGAGGGUCUCUCGACAUUAUCCUUAUUUUCGUCUCACUAGUUGUUUGUCUAGGUUUGGGUUCUAGAUGAGACGCCUGGAAUAGUUCAUCCUGGAAGGGAUGGGGAGGACCAUCCAGAAGAAUUGAUUUCUGUUCAAGUACACUGCCAAACGAGGUGAAUACAUGUUCAAUAGUUGUUUCCUUUUUUUUUUUUUUGAAGAAGUUGGGGCGCCUUUAGGUAUUGUAGUCCUUUUAUUAUUUAAUUAUUUGUCUUUAGUAUGUCUUUCUUGCCCCUUUUUAUCAUCAUUUGUCUCUCCAUUUACAACUCUUAAGGUAAAUUCAUGUAAUAGAACUUGAUAUCAGAUCAUUGUUAAUCAGUUUAUUACAAGCUUUUUGGGUCCUACUGAAUAGAGAUACAUGUACACCACUACAGUGACCAAAACCUGAGAGGUUUCAUUCUUACUGUGUUUGUUGUAAAGACUUCUACCAAUUUGUCUUUCAAUAAAAUGUUCAUUCUACCAGUUUUUCUUAAAGGCAGGUUUCCUCAAAGCAGGAUGUUGUGAAUGCUCUAGUUAAAAAAGGAUUCUCCAAAGAUGUCGCACAGGUACUUCAAACUGUGAGACAUGCUUGAAUGGAAUAAUUUGUAGUUUGGGCUUUGAAAUUUUUUAUGUAUGGAUCAGUUUGGUAUUUCUUAUUUUCGACAUUAAUACUUAGCCUUAUUCAUAUUUGGUCAUCACAUUUUGUUUCUUUAUUGAUAGCACCUAUCUAACUUUCAAAUUUAACAGUUAUGCAUAUUUGCUCGUUAUGUAAGCUGACUUUGUGGGCAAAAAGUGGUUCCAAUCCCAUCUUCUGCUACUACUCUGUCUCAUUAAUUUCACUAUAUCAUUUUCAUGUUUGAUACUCUUGUGUUCUUUUUUGUCUUGCAGUGCAAUUAAUUUCACUUGGUGCUGGCAAGUGCCUUCGCCCAUGAGCGAUAGGUCUCAGGUUCGAGACUUGGGAGCAGCCUCUCCAUAAAUGGGGGUAAGGCUAGCCGACAUUCACCUCUCCCAGACCCUGCGUAAAGCGGGAGCCUUGUGCACUGGGUACGACCUUUUUUUUUUUAUAUGCUGUUUCAUGUGCAGUGGGUGGUUACUAAUCUUCGACCAACCAAUUCUCUUGGUUCAUCACCAUCAACCUUUUCAUGGGUGUUUGAUCUGAAGGGAAUCACUGAAAUGUAUAAAUCUUAUGAAGAAACAAAUUUAUGGUAAUUAGUUCAUAUCCUUAUCUUGUUGGAUUAGUUUUAUAUGUGACACAGGAGUCAAUACCUAGUGGUUAAACUUAAAUGUCCUUUUAAUCAACCGAAAUACUGCCCAUUUGUCUGAGCUGGGGGUUUUCUUUCAUGAAUUGUAUCUUCUUUUAAAUUUUGUUCAUUUUUUAUUCUGGAUGUAAAUCAAACUACAUACCCUUCAUAUAUUGAAACAAAAAGGACAUUUUCAUUUUGAAAUUAUGUCUGCUUCAACUUUUUCCUAAUAUCUCGAAUGUCAAAUUUGCAAUUGGCUCUUAUUGGAUUGCAUUAUUGUAGGAAAAUUGUUGAAGAUGUGCCUCGGGGUGUCCAUGUGAACUUUUUGAAAGCAGAAAGGAGCUUGCACGGAUGGGCUUUAGGAAUCUCCAGAGAAUUCAUGCGGCUGAGGAAGCAGGUGGAGUGGAAAUGCAUGUCCUUGAGGAUGCAGGCCACUGGGUAUGUUGCUUUACAGUUUAGAAUGAAGCACACAAUAUGGAACACUUGUGUUUGUAUAUGUGCACCCAUAUAUAUAUCAUUCACAAGAUAUAUUAGAAUCUAGAGGUUCCGAUAGAUCAGUAUUGGCUCCUGGACUCCUGGGUGAGCAUUUUGGGCAUGGGAAUCAUAAGUAAUGUAUUUUUCUUUUGAGCGGUUAUUUGGGUUAGCAGUUUUAGGAUUUAUAAUUUUGUGCAAAAUUAGUGUCGUUGUUCAGUAGUGACACUUUCUUUGCUGCAAUGCUACUGAUUAGUAUCAUAGGAACUGCUUGUAGUCAUUUUGGACAAGGGAAUUCCUAGUUUUGGGGAAGUAGCGUCUGUCAUACAGUCAUGCACAAGUGAUUCUUUGGCAUUGUUAAUGCAGUCUAGAUUGCAUAAGAUGCUGCUUAAAAUAUCAAAUUGUUCGACGCAAUUUGUUUGAAACUUGCAUGAAUGGGAUAAUAUCAACUGUACCGUAUUUGCGAAAUAUGCAGCGUUGCUCAUUUUUUGUCCUUUCAUUUUCAGGUCCAUGCUGAUAAUCCGGACGGGCUGUUUAGGAUCCUUUCCUCUUCUUUCUAUUGAGCCAAAAACCUGGGGGAGCUUUAGCAUGCUCUUGAUCAGUUCGGACAUACCAGCAUUCUACUGAGAAAUCACCAGACUGUUCCAAUGUUUUAGUCCUUGGAAGAAACAGGUCAAGUUCUCUAUCAAAUGAUUAUAUACAUCCGUUUAUAUCAUAGUGAUUUUUGUAUCAUCGUUCCUCGUUCUUUUCGUUUCUUUAGGUGGCCUCCGUCCCCCUCGUCGCGGUUGCGGCUAUAACUUUAAACGUGUGUAAAUCACUAUAGAGAAGAUGUAUAUGAUAGUCUAUCUACGUUUUAAUGAUUCAGGCGUUUGGCUCAGAUUAGUUUUAUUUUUACAAUUUAUGAGAACACAUACUUGUUUGUAUGUAUAAAUUGUUCAAAAAGAAAAGAAAAAGGUAAAAUGCAAACUUUGGAAUCAUUUGAUUUGAAAAUUUAAGAGCGGUUUGAUAACCAUUUAAUCGAUGAAAGCAUUCAAAAUCAAAUUUUAUUUUAAGUUGUGUACACUUUUAAGAUUUUAUUUUCUUUCAUUUUUCUUUUUUUCGUCCUUUCUCGGUGCCAUUCUUCAUCUCCCCCUUCCUCAUAUCUCAAGCACGAAAAGUAAAAAUCAACGAACAAAGAUGGAAUGAUUAUCGCUGGAAUGUACCUAAGAGGAUAGUUGGACCAACAAAUUGGUCAAGGAUUAAAAUGGCAAAUGUGGAAACCAGGAACUCUAACAAGAACCAAACAAAUUUUGAAGUUCAACGUUGUGUUUCACAAAACUGGAUAACUCAAGUGUACCAAAACAACGUACCCUAUAUGUUGUUUUAACUGAGGACUUUCAACUGAAAUGAUCUUUAAUUUCAAUUCCUAAUUGCUGAAAUUAUCAAAAAUUAAAUAUCGACGAUAUAAUGAUCAAAUAUCAAUAAAAUAAAAAUAACAUACUAAACCGUGAUUAUUUCAUCAAUUGAGAUUUGAAAAUUAAUCAUAUAUCGACAACAUACUAAAAAGUCAUUUCACCAUAAUUUCCAACAAGUAAAUCUUCGUUAUUAAAUUGUUAAAUAAAAAUUUAACAAUCGAAAAUUUCGAUGCAUAAGAUUUUCUCGAAACAUACUAGAAAAUAUGUUGAUUAGGCUAACCCAUUAACUUUAUGAAAAUUAAUCAUAUAUUAACAACAUACCAAAAAGUCAUUUCACCAGAAUUUCUAGCGAAAUUUCGAUGUAUAAAAUUUUCUUCAAACAUACUAGAAAAUAUGUUGAUUAGGCCAACCCAUUAACUCUUUGAAUCCCCAGAAGCCACACGGAAGUUUUCAUUGCAAUUUCGAGUCAAAAAUCUACUCUUUGUAUUAAAUGCAAAGUAUUUCAUUGAAUGCAGAAUUUAAAUUCAUAUGGUUUGAUUUUAGCAAUUUUCAAAAAAGAGCAAAACCUUUAGCAAUUUCGAAAAAAGAGCAAGACCUUUAGCAGUAUCAAUCAAUGCCCAAAAAUAGUUGCAUGCAUAAACACUAAAAAGGUUAUUUUCGUCCGUUUAUGGAGAGAUUCAGCUCGACUUGUUCAAACAUUUUUCCUCUUGACAUGAUAUCAUGGACCCAGUCAAAAUUGAGUAAGCAUAACAAAAUCCAACCUUCAUCCCUAGAAUUUCUUUUCAACCCCCUUGCUCUUUCUUUCUCUCCAUUCUGCAACUCGAUUUUUCUUUCUCAUUCUCCAUUUUCUUCCAAACAUAGAAUUUGCCAACCUGAUUUUCUUUCACGUUCAACAUUCACCGUCCCAGUUGCAAACUUGAAUUUUUUGAAUUGUACAAUAUUGUUUUUUUCAUUUUGGACCGUGGAAUAUUAUUUCUUGUAAUGCUUUGAUGGGAAGUGUUAAUAGCUACUAGCAGUUCUUGUAAUGAUUAUGCGUUCUAUCUGAAGGUGUUAAUUUUUUAUCAUGUUAAUUGAACUCUUGGAAAUUACUACUAAGAAUCUUAUUGCCAAUUCAAGCUUUAUGUUAUUUUUUGUGUAAUCAUGUUUGUGUAAGGGUGCAAGCAUCUUCCAAAGCCUAUUUAUAUUGGUAGCUGUACUUAGAUUGAACAACGCAUUAUGAACUAAUCAAUUGUUGAGGAAAAAUGGUUAAUUUUGAGACAUUGGAUUUAAGAAGCACUAAUUGUUUUGGUUAGUUAAAAUUAUUUUUCGUAAAGAAAUCACAAUUCAAAUGAGAAAGGGAAAGAAAAUACAUAUUUGAUUGGUUUAUAUUUCCAUAUCAAUAUAUAUAUAUAUAUAUAUAUAUAUGUUUAUGUCUUUUUCAGAUUGUGCACUAAAAAAAGAAUUUAUGUCAUAGGAGUCAAAAAAGAAAUCCGAACAAAUCCAUAAAAGAAAUCAUUACAAAUUCGUAGAAAUCUAUAAUAGAAAUCCAUAAUAAUUUGUCAAAAUCCAUAUGGAAUUGUAGAAUCUAUUAAAAUCUUUUGAAAUUUGUCACUUAAAAAAGUUCAUCAAAAUCUUCUGAAAUCCAAAUUAACCACACACCCUUGGUGUAUCGGAUCGUGUUUUCGGUACAUUGAAAAAUAUUUCUUACUAGUAUUACGCAACCAAAAGCAAAUAACAUGUUGUGCAGGUGACAACUUCAAUAAAACUACAUUUUAAGGAUAACAUGUGGAUUUAAAACAUGGUUUAUAAAUUUGAUAUAUAUAGUAGAGAAGCAUCAAUUUGGUCAAAGGGAUUCACACAAUAUUGGAGAGAUCAAAUUAGGAAGGAGUGUGUUUGUAGGAGAGGGAAACCAGCUACGAGCAAAACAUAUUUGAAUUUCAACGUUGUGCGUUUCAAUAUUGGAGAGAUCACAUGCAAACAAGAUUGUGACUUUUGGGUAAUUUUUUGGUUCCACUUGCCGACCAAACCUUAUCUUUUCUUGUUUUGAACUGGCAAAGCAUUUUCCGUGGACUGGGUCCUUUCGUUAAAUUUAAAAAACCGACGUGGUAAACUGGUUGAGGACUCGUGACAUCAUGGCUUAGGUAAUAUACAAUGAAUGCCGACCUCGCGCGUCAACCCCUCGUCAAACCAAAUUCUCAAAGACUCCAAGAUAUUUUCUGACGUGACUCCCUCUCAUACUUAAACUACAUGUAAUGCUACAUUUAACAUAUGUUUGCACGAUUAUUUGUAUUAUUUCUUUAAUAAGAGUAAUAUUAGGUAGAUUAAAUUUAUUGAUUAAUUUUGUUGAUUAAUUUUGCAAGUAAAAUGAUGUGUAGAAAAAAAAUACAUUAAUCAAUAUUUAAAGAAUAGUCCUAUCUCUAUUAUAAAGAUAGUACAAAUGUAUAGUGAAAGUAAUAUUUUUAUUAAACUCCCCCAAAGUUGAUUACUCAUUCCCGACGUGUAUUUCUAAUCAUAAAUCUCAGUUAUGAGAGAUUUUUUAGUAUGCUUGGUGGUACACUAUGUGCUACUAUACAAGUGGUGAGAUACUUGUAUUUGUAUUAAAAAAAAUUAACAACUUAAAAAUAAAACUUCCUACCACUUAUAUAAUAACACGUAGUGUACCGCUUGUGUUCAGAACAAAUGAAAUUUCUCUCAAUACUCCGCUUUCAUGCUCACCUUAAUUAACCACGUGUGUUUUUCUGUAGGAAAUAAAAUACCCUCUAUAUCCUCUAUGUUUUAGACUUUAGUAGCCCAAUUGACAUAACACGUGUUUAUCUUUACUGUUUUAGUCUAAUAAUGAACAGUUACGAGUCGUUAAUAAAUAGUUUAAUUAUUUAUAAACAAUUAAAAUUACUUAUGAUAUCAAGUAGGUUAUCAUCACGGGAAACCCAACAAUUAUACGUGUUUCACGUCAUUCAAUUGUGUUAUCUGUGUAUUAAAUUUGAAAAUUUAUCAUACAUGCUGAAAAUAUUAAGAAUAUAAAUAUAACAUGAUAAAUGAUAAAAAAUAGUUAAGUGAACUUUCUCCAAUAUUAAUUUUAUGAUUAAAUCUCAAUUUUAUUGAUGAUAUCAAAACCUAACAAUGUAUUAUUAUGUAUUACGAAUCCAUUCAAUAUAUAUCCCUAUCAUUACACUGAAUCCAAUUGACAUAUAUCCUUAUCUUGCUUCGGUGUCUCUCACCAUCCAUACCGCUUCUAGUUUCUGGUAUUUACUUUGACCUUAGAAUAUUUUGACCUUCCCCUCCCUCGGACAUGAUAUGCUACAGCUACAAAAUUAAUUCAUUAUUGCACCUUUGACUAUCGUAGUUGUUCAACCUAUAUAAACACUUCCUCCCAUUUCCCUUUUUCAUUCACAGAUUCAAUCGGAACGUUUCCCACAUCUUCCUUACUAGCUACUUACGCAGACAAGUCAGAACUCAGAAGAGAAAGUUCAUAUUUGUUAUAUAUAUAGUUUUACACAUAUAUAUAUCAUCAUCAUCAUGAGUUACAGUUCGGAAGAAAGCGGGAGUCCUCCAUGCAGCACAUCAAACAGAAAACUCAAGGGGGUGCGCCAACGAAAAUGGGGCAAGUGGGUGUCCGAAAUCCGAGUUCCGGGGACCCGAGACCGGCUUUGGUUAGGCACCUUCUCCACCGCAGAGGCGGCAGCGGUGGCUCGAGACGUUGGGUAUUAUUGCUUGCGUCGACCUUCCACGUUGGAAGGCCUUAACUUCCCGUUGAGGUUACCGUCUUGUGUGAGGGAUGAUAUGUCGCCCAGGUCGGUGCAGAAGGCAGCUUCAGAUGCUGGCAUGGCAGUGGAUGCUCAGCUGAUUGCCAACAAGUCCCCGCCGCCGCAGCCAGCUGGAACUGGAAGCAAUGCGGUUGAGACGACUGAGUUUCGGGAAAAUGGUUAUAUGGGAGAGACUUCGACUUCUACUUCUAUGAGCAGUUGGGGAGGAGGACAUGGGUUUGGCAAUGGCGGUGAUCAUCAGGGGUGCUUGAGCAUUUCCGUUGAAGAUUAUGAUCUCUAAAUCUAAUUAUUAAGUGUCGUCAGUCAAAGUUAUACGGUUUUUUAUUUUUUAUUACAAAUGACAUUCUAUACUAGUUUACUGGACAAAUUUGAAUUCGGAACGCAGUAUGGUGGAAGAGAAAGAUCCUAUCAGAGCAAUCCAUCACUGCUUGUAACUAUGAUUUUGGUCCAUGGAAGUUUUAGCAAUGUUAGCAUAAAGUUAUUAACUAGAACUAUACACAUGUUUGUGGGUAGGAUUUGGUAGAAUAUAUAUGUAGCACUGUUUCACACUCACCGUAAGACUAAGUCUAGCUAUGCCAUAGAAAUGGAAACAGACUGGUUAUGAUUUACAAUACGACUUUGACCUCCUAUAAAAAGUAGUGGAGUUGCAUCUUUUUAAUAUUGAAAGAGACGCAAGCUGAAUUUGAGACCUCGUUAUAAGGAGAGAGAGGAAAACAAAUCUAGACUUUCGCGUGAAUUCACUAAAUUGUUUGAAUGUACAAAUAAUAAACAAAUCAUGAAAAAAGAGGAAAACAAAUCCAGAAUUUCGUAUGAAUUCACUUAACCAACUGAAUUCUUUGAAUGUACAAAUAAUGAACAAGUCAUGUUUCAGAUACUUUGUUGAAUUCAACGAUCCUCUAUGGAAAAAGGCAAGUGUCCUAUGAUGAUUUGGAACCCAAUUAACACUUCAAUAAAUUUUAUGGUGAAUUUCUAAACCACGUUUUAGUGCUGCAAAUAGAGCAUACAUAUUAAAUUCAACAGAAACCCCAGAAAAUGGUGCCAUUUUUUGUGCAACCAGUGACACCAAGGUUCAACUAUUAACGAAAGGCGAUAUACUAAUAUGGAAAUCAUUUAUACUAUUGGUGGUGCCACUGAAACAAUAUAUUAGUUUCAAGAGAGUUUCUCUCCACAAAGUGACAAUAAUUGUUUCUUUCCUCUUUUUGGGUUAAAACUACAAAUGUUUUUCUUUAGAAAUAACUUAAGCAUCAUUCAUAAGAUAGUACAAAGAUGCCCAGAUGAACUAAUCAUCACUCAAAAAUGAAAAUUCUGAAAAAUGUCAUACUUAAUAAGAAGAAGCGCAUGUUUGGAUCGAUGACAUAGCUUCAAGAUUGUUUCUCGAUCUACUGACUUCCUUCAACAUCCCACUUCCAAUUUCGGAGGAUCUGCUGAUUUCCUUCAAGCUUAGAUGUACUUGUUUGCACUGUGUUCCAUUUUAUGUUGGUCUUAUACGGUUUGAUUUACAAUCAUCUCGAUGCAUUUUAUGUAUGUACACAAAAGGGGUAAUUCAGCUGAAGACGUUUUACACUCAUGGAAUCUGUUCUUACAGACUUACAAUCAUGACCCAAGGGAAACCAAAAUUGAAAUUUCAAAGAAUUAGUCAAAUGAAACCAACUUACCCGCUUGUUUUUCGAGUUUGAACUCCGCCAGACUAUGUAACAAAAUCUUGUUCGAAAUACUCAAGGAAGAAAGCAAGUGCCAAAAUUUGAAGAUUUUUUCUUUUGAGCUGAACCAAAACUUCAAAAUUGAAAACAAAACGGCAUCAGUCACCACCAUACAAGUAGGAGUUUCAAGAGAGCCAUCCUUAUAUAUAGGCCGUUCUUUGCUUGUCUGAAAUAGGCAGCUCGUGGAUCCCCAUCAACAUCCACGGUAAUCUGCACGACAUUCAGAGAAAAUAGAAAUUAAGAAUGAUAAAAGCAGGUUUGCUAUAGGGUUCAAAAUCAUUUCAUUAUCACGUGUUUACCUCGUCAAGUCUAAACUUUGAAUGUUAAAUGGUUACGAGGCGAUCUGUUUACUUGUAGGACCAAACUCUGUCAUAAUUGUAAACUAGUAGUUUCCAACUUUCCAUUCAGUUCCUAGUUAUUUGUUACAGUUCGCUAUUUUUCGUUAAAUGGUACUUAGAGGAACUUUCCAACUUUAUUUUAUUCGAGAAUUGCAAGUCUUUACACCCACCAAUCGCCAAUUGCUCCAGUACUUCAUAAAAGUUCGUAGAACUAUUCAUCAAACAAAUGCGCAAUAGAAAACGAAACUUUUCUAUCAAAUUGAUAAACAAAAUGAGCAAGCAGGAGGAGAGGCAGUACCAAAAGCACAACCCAAAGAAUCUCUGGUGCUUCUCUAAGCCAGAAUGCUGAAUUUCAUCACCUGGGUUCAGUCGAGCAUCAUCAUUCCUCAUUAGCUUUUAUCUUCACAUCCCUCCUCAACCCGUAUAGUGAUUUGGAAAACGAAGCAU